rnacentral:rRNA from 1 species
CAAGUCGAACGGACCUUCGGGUCAGUGGCGAACGGCGGAGUAAUACAUGAGUAACGUGCCCUUCAGACGGGGAUAUACGGUCGAAAGACCGGGCAAUACCGGAUGAGAUGGCGAGGAGGCAUCUCCUUGUCAUGAAAUGGUUUUUCGCUGAAGGAGCGGCUCAUGACACAUCAGAUAGUUGGUGGGGUAACGGCCUACCAAGUCUACGACGUGUAGGGGGUCUGAGAGGAUGAUCCCCCCGAGUGGGACUGAGACACGGCCCACACACCUACGGGUGGCAGCAGUUGGGAAUCUUGCGCAAUGGGGGAAACCCUGACGCAGCGACACCGCGUGGAGGAUGAAGGAUUUCGGUCUGUAAACUCCUUUUGCUAGGAAAGACUUAGGACGGUACCUAGCGAAUAAGCUCCGGCUAACUACGUGCCAGCAGCCGCGGUAAUACGUAGGGAGCAAGCGUUGUCCGGAUUUACUGGGCGUAAAGGGCGUGUAGGCGGUCUGUUAAGUGUGACGUGAAAUCUUCAGGGCUCAACCCGAAAAUUGCGUCGCAGACUGGCAGACUAGAGGGAAGCAGAGGUUGAUAGAAUUCCUGGUGUAGCGGUGACAUGCGUUGAUAUCAGGAGGAAUACCGAUGGCGAAGGCAGUCAACUGGGCUUUUCCUGACGCUGAGGCGCGAAAGCGUGGGUAGCAAACAGAAUUAGAUACUCUGGUAGUCCACGCCCUAAACGAUGGAUGCUAGGCGUAAGGGGUAUCGACCCCCUUUGUGCCGUAGCUAACGCAUUAAGCAUCCCGCCUGGGGAGUACGGGCCGCAAGGGUUGAAACUCAAAUGAAUUGACGG